UAGCCAACCCGCGAGGGGGAGUCCAAAUCCCUAACAAAGCCGGUCGUAGUCCGGAUCGCAGUCUGCAACUCGACUGCGUGAAGUCGGAAUCGCUAGUAAUCGCGGAUCAGCAUGUCGCGGUGAAUACGUUCCCGGGUCUU
rnacentral:rRNA from 1 species